CCUANGGGAGGCAGCAGUGGGGAAUCUUGCGCAAUGGGCGAAUGCCUGACGCAGCGACACCGCGUGAGGGAUGAAGGCCUUCGGGUUGUAAACCUCUUUCGGCAGGGACGAAGCGAACGUGACGGUACCUGCAGAAGAAGCUCCGGCUAACUACGUGCCAGCAGCCGCGGUAAGACGUAGGGAGCGAGCGUUGUCCGGAUUCAUUGGGCGUAAAGAGCGCGCAGGCGGCUUGGUAAGUCGGAUGUGAAAACCCGGAGCUCAACUCCGGGCCUGCAUCCGAAACUGCCCGGCUAGAGGUAGGUAGGGGAGAUCGGAAUUCCUGGUGUAGCGGUGGAAUGCGCAGAUAUCAGGAGGAACACCGGUGGCGAAGGCGGAUCUCUGGGCCUUACCUGACGCUCAGGCGCGAAAGCUAGGGGAGCAAACAGGAUUAGAUACCCCUNUANUC
rnacentral:rRNA from 1 species